rnacentral:tRNA from 5 species
GCGGAUGUGGCGGAACUGGUAUACGCGUAUGCUUGAGGUGCAUAUGCCGCAAGGCUUGGGAGUUCGAGUCUCCCCAUCCGCA